UGGGGAAUAUUGGACAAUGGGCGGAAGCCUGAUCCAGCAACGCCGCGUGAGGGAUGACGGCCUUCGGGUUGUAAACCUCUCUCAGUACCGACGAAGCGAAAGUGACGGUAGGUACAGAAGAAGGACCGGCCAACUACGUGCCAGCAGCCGCGGUAAUACGUAGGGUCCGAGCGUUGUCCGGAAUUAUUGGGCGUAAAGGGCUCGUAGGCGGUUUGUCGCGUCGGGAGUGAAAACAGCGGGCUUAACUCGUUGCUUGCUUUCGAUACGGGCAGACUAGAGGUAUGCAGGGGAGAAUGGAAUUCCUGGUGUAGCGGUGAAAUGCGCAGAUAUCAGGAGGAACACCGGUGGCGAAGGCGGUUCUCUGGGCAUUACCUGACGCUGAGGAGCGAAAGUGUGGGGAGCGAACAGGAUUAGAUACCCUGGUAGUCCACACCGUAAACGUUGGGCGCUAGGUGUGGGGUCCUUUUCCACCGGAUUCCGUGCCGUAGCUAACGCAUUAAGCGCCCCGCCUGGGGAGUACGGCCGCAAGGCUAAAAACUCAAAGGAAUUGCGGGGUCAUAGCUNUUUCCU
rnacentral:rRNA from 1 species